AUGAACGCUGGCGGCGUGCCUAAUACAUGCAAGUCGAGCGAACAGACGAGGAGCUUGCUCCUCUGACGUUAGCGGCGGACGGGUGAGUAACACGUGGAUAACCUACCUAUAAGACUGGGAUAACUUCGGGAAACCGGAGCUAAUACCGGAUAAUAUAUUGAACCGCCUGGUUCAAUAGUGAAAGACGGUUUUGCUGUCACUUAUAGAUGGAUCCGCGCCGCAUUAGCUAGUUGGUAAGGUAACGGCUUACCAAGGCGACGAUGCGUAGCCGACCUGAGAGGGUGAUCGGCCACACUGGAACUGAGACACGGUCCAGACUCCUACGGGAGGCAGCAGUAGGGAAUCUUCCGAAAUGGGCGAAAGCCUGACGGAGCAACGCCGCGUGAGUGAUGAAGGUCUUCGGAUCGUAAAACUCGGUUAUUAGGGAAGAACAAAUGUGUAAGUAACUAUGCACGUCUUGACGGUACCUAAUCAGAAAGCCACGGCUAACUACGUG
rnacentral:rRNA from 1 species